UCCCUGGAGGACUAGUGGUUAGGCCAUGGUGCUCUCACUGCUGCAGCCUGGGUUCGAGUCUCAGCCAGGGAG
rnacentral:tRNA from 1 species